UACGUAGGGUGCGAGCGUUGUCCGGAAUUACUGGGCGUAAAGCGCGCGUAGGCGGCUCUUCAAGUCGAGUGUGAAAGCUCCAGGCUUAACCUGGGAAUUGCGCUUGAUACUGUUGAGCUAGAGUGUGGAAGGGGCUACUGGAAUUCCGUGUGUAGCGGUGAAAUGCGUAGAUAUACGGAGGAACACCAGCGGCGAAGGCGGGUAGCUGGGCCAAACACUGACGCUGAUGUGCGAAAGCUAGGGGAGCAAACGGG
rnacentral:rRNA from 1 species